rnacentral:misc_RNA from 1 species
AACGCACAUUGCGCCCCUUGGUAUUCCAUGGGGCAUGCCUGUUCGAGCGUCAUUUGUACCUUCAAGCUUUGCUUGGUGUUGGGUGUUUGUCUCGCCUCUGCGUGUAGACUCGCCUUAAAACAAUUGGCAGCCGGCGUAUUGAUUUCGGAGCGCAGUACAUCUCGCGCUUUGCACUCAUAACGACGACGUCCAAAAGUACAUUUUUACACUCUUGACCUCGGAUCAGGUAGGGAUACCCGCUGAACUUAA